CUCUCAAUUUGGACUGCACGAAGAAUGAUACAAUGAAAUUUGUUCAGUUAUUUUUGGGGGAAUCACCAACAAGUGAUUCAAAGCUGAAGCCAAGUGUUUAUUUACGAGAAAUGAUGUUAAGCACUGACCAAAGAAUCGAGCAUCUUAACAAAUUAUCACAGAAGAAACAUGGCAGUUUUCUUUCGAGAGGUAUUGACCUCAAAGAUUUUAAAAUCAAUCCACCUGUUGUUGUUUUUCAAACAUUUCAACCUGGAAAACAGUAUAAUGCAACUGUGACAGUCUGCAAUAUUUCAGAGGUUUCAAAACAGAUAAGGAUAAAAAGCCGGCCAACUCACACAUUUUGUGUCACACACUUGUCCAAAGUAACGUCUAAGCUUGCGCCUG